UCGCAGCCUAAGCGACCCGCGAGGGGCGAUUAGGACAGGGGUUGGUCGGUGAGUACCCUGAUUCGGAAAUAACCCCGACAGCU
rnacentral:ncRNA from 1 species